rnacentral:rRNA from 1 species
GCAAGUCGAACGGCAGCAUAGAGUGCUUGCUCUCUGAUUUCUAGUGGCGAACGGGUGAGUAAUAUAUCGGAACGUGACUCGUAAUGGGGAACAACUAAUCGAAAGGUUAGCUAAUACCGCAUACGACCUACGGGUGAAAGCAGGGGAUCUUCGGACCUUGCGUUAUUAGAGCGGCCGAUAGCUGAUUAGGUAGUUGGUGGGGUAAAGGCCUACCAAGCCGACGAUCAGUAGCUGGUCUGAGAGGACGAUC